CAGCUUUGGUCCCUUGUCUAGACCCAAGGACACGGUGCGUUUGUGGGUGUGAGCGCGCAGGGCAGCGGGGAGGUGAGUGUCGGGGUGCAAGGGCAGCUCGCGUGGGGCCAGGGCAGCAGGACGGGCGAUGCCCCGACACCCCGGCAUCCUCCUCCCGCUGCCCUUGUGCCGGCCCUGCCCGCAGCCCGAGGUGCUGGGGCCUGUGUCACCCCGAGGUGCCGGCGCGGGAGCUGCCCCUGUGCCCCCUCAGCGCCUCCCACCGCUGUGCCCAGGGCUGGAGCCGGCACCUGCAGCCUGCAGCGGGAGGCCGGCCGACGGCACCCACGCCACGGGCUCCUGCCCUCCCCCAGCCUGGGGAGUCUGGGUGUUUUCCUGUUUGCCUCUUACCUUUUGCACUGAUCCCGGGGACAGUGACAUCCAGGCUGCUGUCCCUGCAGGAGCCAAGGAGCCAGCCUCUGCCCGCUCACACCCCAGGGGUAUUACCCGGGGGAUUUCCAGGGCUCCCAUCUUCCUAAUUCUUUUACCCCAGGAGGGGCUGGAGCCCUGCACCCAGCUGUCCUUAGCUGACAGCUAAACAACUAAGGAAGAAAGAAGUGCGAAGGACAGUAGAACAAGAUGUUGGUGCUGUCUAACGACACAGCCCUGAAUUCACUCCUCUCCAAGCUUCUUCAAGACUAUGUGGAACAGACGAACAUCUCUGCAGCUUCCCAGGUCAGAAGUUCCAGCGGCAACCUUGAAAUCAUCUACGUGCUGCUGAUGGUCGGGCUCUUUGGCUUCUUCACAGUGGGAGUCAUGCUGACCAACAUCCGUGCCAGGAGGCUGGAGGACUCCCGCGACCCCUACAACACCUACAUUGCCACAGACAUUUGGCACAAGAAGGACAGGGAGUAUUUUCAAGCCAAGCUCAUAGAAAAUUACAAGCUGUGUUGUGUCUUUGAAAACCAGUUGGCUGUGGAGCAGCCAAGCAUGCAGAUUCCUGAGGCAAAGUCUUCCUAGCAAAACGGGAAAGGAUUGCACUUUGCACAGGGACAACCUGACUGAUACCUGGUAUGAACCAGGCUAGCUGCUUGCCCAUCUGCAGAGCCAGAGGUGCUGGCCUUGGCCAGGCUAAAUAACUGUGGACUGAUGGUGAAGCUGAUGGGUCUGUGAUGGCCCUGGUGCUGCAAAAGUGCCUGGCCAUCAGUAGUUGCAUUCACUGUUGCAUUCACUGAUGCAUUGUUGCAGUCACUGUAAGGUCGAGGAGGGGGGACACACAGAGGGAGUAUCAUGGACUCAUCAGCUUCACCUAGCAAAAAAAGCAAAUGUUGGUGUUGCCAGUGUGAACACUUGCAGUAGUCCAUGUAAUUAAAACCCAUUUGGAUCAAACACAAGCUAGAGGUGUUAACUGCCAAGUAUGGUUUAGGCAAUCAUUUGCAAGUAAAACCAGUUUCUUUCAAGAAAAAGUAGCUGAAGAAUUCCAUUUGCAUUUUUGUCCAGCAUAGAAUAAUAAUUUUAUAAAUUGUACAAUGCUGUGGAUUAUCUAUUUCUUUCAGAAUUAUGCACCUUUUUGAAAUAAAAUUUUAGAAAAAUAUUUCAAUUUUUUUCUGAAAACCAUUUCUGUAGAAAAAUGAAGACUUUGGGGAAAAUUUUUAGUGACUGUGCCUAAUUCCUAGCAGGUACCCCAGUCGGCCUUGCCGACUACUUUUGGUUUUCCUUCUCAUGGAUGGGGGUUGAUCCUAGCAGCAAUAUCCACCCUUGUACAUCCCAUGGGGUCUAUGCCACGCAAGUGAGUUUCAAUCAUAUUUAAUUAUUGAAUAAGACCUGCUAGCCCUUGGCUGGAAAAUGAAUUUCCACUCUGUGAAGAGCAGUUCCACAAAGUGUCUGAUAUUUAAUCACUGACUCAGCUUAUGUCUGUGCUUAACUUAAAGCCCGUGAGCAGUUCCUCCAGCUCCCAAGAGCAGCCUGCCUCAGUAUAGCUGUUUAUCUAUUGCAGUAUCCAAUGUGAGGUCCAUGCCAGCAGAGUUUUCCUGCCCUUGGCCUCCUUACUCCCUCCUUCAGCAGGCCGUGUCUGCCGAGCUGUGGGGGCAUGAUGGCAGCCAAAAUCAGCUUCUGGGGCAGCAGCUAUCAUCUGUCUCUGUUGAAAGGAAGAAAUAGGGCUCCCCAGGACAUUGCAUUUCUCAAAAUAGCAACUUUGCCAGCUUGAAGCCUGUUUUCUUGUUUGGGAUCAAAGAAGCGAUGGUCUGGGCAGGAGGGGAAUUUUAUUUCUACUCUGCAGAUACACAUCCCAUUUUUAGCUACUGGAGAGGAAAGAGAAGUGGGAAAGGCUUGAAAGAAAGUCGUGCAGAGCAGCCGCUUGAAAGGCAAGGUGAGGGCAGAUAGCUAGCCAAGUAUUUGGACAGGCAAGCGAUACCAGGCACAGCAUAUCCCUUUUCCAUGCAUAGGUAGCUCUUUAGCACUGCAAUUUCAUUAAAUAUUCCAGCCAUCUUUGUGUUCCCAGAAUACUUAGGAUAAUUAAAAAUGCAGAGUUUGGGAUUUUUUUAAAGAUAUUUAUAGGGUGCCUAACGUUAAGCUGAGGACAAGUUACAUGUUUUCAGUGUCUUGAACAGCUUGGAAAAUCUCCAUCAGCUUAAUUAUCCAAGGCACUUUUUCCUCUAGAGGAAUGUAAACCAAAGCCAAGCUUUGGAAAAAUGUUGACUUCUCAGCUUGGGCACUGCUCUUUUGGGAUCUCACCGUGCAGUCUGUUUAUUACUUUCAUUUCCCUCCCCCUGUGAGAGUGCAAAUGCUCUUGCUUGCUGGUCCUCCAGAGGCAGGCCCGUGCAGCAUUGCUGACAAUGUUUAAACUUGCAUCAAAAAUGGCCUUUAAUUACAUUAAAACCUUGGAACAUUAAGCUUGUCAAAAGGGCUCCCUCCUGCAGCUCCCUCUCCACCCCAGGUGUUUUCAGGUAUUUUGGGUCUAGGCACUUGCUGGUCACCUUAUUUUAAUAGCUCUGGUGUAGUUAUUUGUGACAAGGGUGAUUGUCAGCACUAGUUGGCUUCCACCUCUUUUUUUUUUUUCUUCAGCUCUGUCAUUUUAUUUAUUUAAAAAAGAGGGGAACCACUGUGCCUUAGUCAUAACACUUUCCCGUGUCACCAGGCUGCAAAUCAACCGUCGGUGGCAGUUGUGGACUCCCACUGUGGGCUUUCACAUUACCUUUAAGUCUUGUAGGUCUCCUUUUUUUCCCUAGUUCUUCACUUGUACAAAGCAAUAAAAUAUGAAUUACAAACUGUGCU
rnacentral:lncRNA from 1 species